GAUCGUGGGAGUGCGUGAUUUAAGAUGGACCAGAUAGCAAAGUAGAUCCUCUUGUUACUACUACUAAUCCGGGAAACUGUUUUAGUUCAAUGAAUCUUCUUAAAGGUUUAAUGGUUAUCCGUUUGUUAUCGUCUUUAAAUUCAAGAAGUUAACCUCGUGGUUUCGACUAAGCAAAAAUAAUACUUUAAUUAUAGUUGUAGAGAAAAAAAUUCAUUUCAAAAUAAAUGUAGUUUUAGAAUUUUAAUGCAAAAGUUAUUAACAAUAUUUUUCAGUUAUUUUAUAUUUAAUGAAAUAUAAUUAAGUGUAUAGGUAACAAUGUUUUUAUUUUAAAAAUAUAUAAAUUAAAUAUUUUCUUAAUUUAUGUGCAUAUACCUAAAAUGACAACUAAAAUAAUGCAUGGAGUAAUCAUUAUAGUGCUUUUAGAAUGUUGGAUAAAAGAAACUCGCUUUUGCGCUAAUGUC
rnacentral:lncRNA from 1 species